AUGAUGUUUGAAGCCUAUGGCAUUAGGCUGCCUCUGCUGAAGGUGUUGAUUGACAGGCUGCUGCAGGAGGGAAUAGAGGAGCUGCUUCAAGUGCUCGGCACCUCCAAGAAAACAAAAGAAAACACAGGAACUCACACCUCCAAUGUCAUCACUGAAUACACAAGUUCAGUGAAGUUUGACAUCACCAGUCAGCCGCUGUCAGAGUUGGACACCAUUGAGGACCCUAAUUUAAAUAGACAGCUUCCAGAGUCUUUGUCAGUUGACCCUUUAAAUGAAAUGGGAGAGGGUCCUACUUUAUGGACUGUCACCGCACUGAACGGACGGCAGGAGCUUGACAGGAUUGAGACCAAGUUAAAGGGAUCCAGAGGGAAGGAGGUAAUAGAUGGGAACAGUGAUGGAGGAUCUUCACUCAAAAUGAAUCUGACUGUAGUCAAUUCUACUUUCAAUUAUACUACGACCCAGGAGACGGUUUCAGGGUUACCAGACACUGUGGUGGAGACUGUUUUCCUUACUCAGGAAGCCUCUCUGAAUAAGAGCUCAGGACAAAAGAAGAAGAACAGGGAACGUGGGAAGACAAGUGAAGAGGACAAGCAAGACGAAGAGGAGGAAGAGGAGUUUUAUAACGGGGAAGAAUACAGUUAUGAAUACGAGGAAGAACUUUACCCAGAUGAGCCCUCGAUCUCUCAGGAGAGGAGAGACAACAGACAGUUUGAAGUCCAAACCGAUGAAUUCCCCCAUCCAGUGGAUAAAAAGGAAGACCAAUUACCCACACAAGAUCCUGCCCAGUUAGAAACAUUGGCAGAAACUUCCAGUCGUCCUCUAACAUCCUCCUCUGACAGAGAAACCGAUACUACACUUAAUGUUGUCUUGACAACCACAGAGCCACUAUCCCAACCCAUGGGUGACAUAGAAAAGGAUGAAGUUUCACUGCCUACACCUCCCAUCACAACAGAAGAACCAGACAAGGACGUCUCUUAA
rnacentral:lncRNA from 15 species